CAGUGGGGAAUAUUGGACAAUGGGCGCAAGCCUGAUCCAGCCAUGCCGCGUGAGUGAUGAAGGCCUUAGGGUUGUAAAGCUCUUUUGUCCGGGACGAUAAUGACGGUACCGGAAGAAUAAGCCCCGGCUAACUUCGUGCCAGCAGCCGCGGUAAUACGAAGGGGGCUAGCGUUGCUCGGAAUCACUGGGCGUAAAGGGCGCGUAGGCGGCCGAUUAAGUCGGGGGUGAAAGCCUGUGGCUCAACCACAGAAUUGCCUUCGAUACUGGUUGGCUUGAGACCGGAAGAGGACAGCGGAACUGCGAGUGUAGAGGUGAAAUUCGUAGAUAUUCGCAAGAACACCAGUGGCGAAGGCGGCUGUCUGGUCCGGUUCUGACGCUGAGGCGCGAAAGCGUGGGGAGCAAACAGGAUUAGAUACCCUGGUAGUCCACGCCGUAAACG
rnacentral:rRNA from 1 species